rnacentral:rRNA from 1 species
UACGUAGGGUGCGAGCGUUAAUCGGAAUUACUGGGCGUAAAGCGUGCGCAGGCGGUUUUGUAAGUCUGUCGUGAAAGCCCCGGGCUUAACCUGGGAAUUGCGAUGGAGACUGCAAGGCUUGAAUCUGGCAGAGGGGGGUAGAAUUCCACGUGUAGCAGUGAAAUGCGUAGAGAUGUGGAGGAACACCGAUGGCGAAGGCAGCCCCCUGGGCUAAGAUUGACGCUCAGGCACGAAAGCGUGGGGAGCAAACAGG